ensembl:lncRNA
GGCCAAGAUAGACAGGGACACGUGCAGACUGAAUUAUGGGUGAGCGACAGUGAGCGAGUGAGUAGGUGAACGAGUGUGAGUGAUUGAUAAUGAGAGGUGUGAGUGUGUGAGUGAUUGAUCAUGAGAGGUGUGAGUGUGUGAGUGAUUGAUAAUGAGAGGUGUGAGUGAUUGAUCAUGAGAGGUGUGAGUGUGUAAGUGAUUGAUAACGAGAGGUGUGAGUGUGUGAGUGACUGAUAAUGAGAGGUGUGAGUGUGUGCAUGAGUUAUAAAGAGUUAUAAUCUCACCCAAUGACUUCCUGCCUCUGGUCCUCUGUGUGUAGAGCAUGAACAGACUGAGCACUAACAGAAACACCACCGCAGCGAGCCCGGCACAUAUGUAUACAACACCACCUAAACAACAUAAUAAGACAUUAACACAACACACUUUAUAGAUACAACACCACCUAAACAACAUAAUAACACAUUAACACAACACACUUAACAGAUACAACACUAUCUAAACAACAUAACAAGACAUUAACACAACACACUU